ACCUGACGGGACCAGCAAACAUUGAAGUAACUACUAAUAAUAUUUGCAGGAACACUUUGACCUACUACGCUACUGUAUUUGAACAUGGAUCAUUCUGGUUGUACUUUGUAUUUUCUUAGCUGGCUCAGUGAGCGUCACUCACAUGACCAUAGCGUGACGCUACGACGCACGCACGCUUUUACAUAUGUUUGCAUAAGUCAGCUUGUCUUACGUGAAAUUCCGGUAGCUCUCCUCGUUCCUCUCCCACGUUUGAGAAUAACGCUUCAACACGUCGUCAAUCAGUUUCCUGCGAGGACACGCAAGUAGAGACACAAAUGCAACAAUUCCUUAAUUAAUUGACAUCUGAUUUUAAUUUGGGAAAACAAUUAUCAACAAUCACAAUGAAUGCAUUUUCUUCACUGUCGAUUUAAAAGGUGAAUGAAUGACAAAGAGUCAACUUGACUCACCUGCAGCCUUUACAAAGCACACUUGGGGAACUUUUCUUCUGAGCGGGAGAACUUGACGCAGCGUCCAGACAAACCUAUGAUCGUCGACCAUGUACCAAGUGAUGCUGGACAACAGGCUGGCUAAACAUAGCAGAGUUAUUGCGGACGAGCCACCCCAAGAAGCCAUCAUCAACAAAGGAGAUGAGGCGCGUCUUUCGCUUGACAUCAUGGAGAAGUACUCUGUGGAAUGGAGAGACAGAGAAAGAAAGGAGGCCUCCUCAAAGCAUCAUUCACCCGCCCCUUCCUUCCUCCAUCAUCAUGUGUGUGCUUGUGAGACAGAAGAGGAAGUCUCUGCGGCGUCAAGAAACAGGAAGUCAGACGAGACACGCCGCGUGCAGGAAAACAAGGUGUCUCGUGUCAUCAAACUUCCUCUGCUUUACUUAAAGCAUAAUCGUGCAUUAUUUUUAUCGUAUGAUAAAUGUGUGUGUCA